rnacentral:lncRNA from 1 species
GAUCGACCAGAUCUGGUGUUGACGUGGGCGAGAGGGUCUGUUUGUGUGUUUCCACAGGACCAGAGGGAACCUCUUUGGGUGCCGGAGAGAUUGGUGAGACGCUGCAAGAAUGAGGCUCCUGAUCCAGUUGCCCCUGUGGAUGUGGUGGAUGAUCCCACAAGCACAAAGGAUGGAGCCGAGAUGAGAGAUCCUUUCGGUAUUCCAGAAGCCGAUACCAGCUCGACAUGA